GUUUCUGUAGUUGAAUUACAACGAUGAUUUUUCAUGUCAUAGGUCGCAGUUAAAUUCUGUGUAGAAAUA
rnacentral:tRNA from 1 species